UACGUAGGGUGCAAGCGUUAUCCGGAAUUAUUGGGCGUAAAGAGCUCGUAGGCGGUUUGUCGCGUCUGCUGUGAAAACCCGAGGCUCAACCUCGGGCCUGCAGUGGGUACGGGCAGACUAGAGUGCGGUAGGGGAGAUUGGAAUUCCUGGUGUAGCGGUGGAAUGCGCAGAUAUCAGGAGGAACACCGAUGGCGAAGGCGGGUCUCUGGGCAUCUCCUGACGCUGAGGCGCGAAAGCGUGGGGAGCAAACGGG
rnacentral:rRNA from 1 species